AUGGAGAUCUUAUCUUAUGGUCAAAUUGAUUAAAAUUAGAUUUAUUUACAAGCCCUCAUUACAAUUAGCUUUAGCAUUAUUAAUACACAAUACAGAGGUAAAUUUUUUCUCUUAUGAACAAUGUUUUUGUGUAAUAUUAGUAAGAGAUAAUAAAAUAUUUUCGAUUAACUUUUGAGUAAACUUCCAAAAAAUAAAAGAGCAGAGAGAGAAACAGAUUUAAUUGGCCUUAUGCUGUCUUUAUUAGGUUUUUUCUCGGGGGGAAACUCAGUCUACUCUCUAUCAAAGAGUAAUGGUUUUUGUUUUUUUGAAAUCUUUGCGUUAUCAUUCUGGCUAAGUGGAUUACUAUUUUAUGGUGACCUGUAAUGCGAUUUUAUGACAUUAAGUGUUUGAAACACUUAGAUAAAACUUGAAACACUUAGAUAAAAGUUUUGACAUUUGCCAAACUUUCCAAUAUCAAAAUUCAAAAUUCUGAAUUCCGUCUUCUUUUAAAUCUCAGACUAACUUUUUGGACGCUGGGGUCCCUUGGGUCCAAAACUGCUUAAUUUUCUUUGGGUUAUAUUUAUAUAAAUAUAUAAAUUUCCAUAUGUUUGUUAGUAUGUAUUCUGAAAUUCUAUGAGACUCCUAAAAUUCUGAUAUAUCAUAGUAUAUGUCAUCAAUAGUAAUUAUGAGUGUUAUAUUAAACUGUUGUAUGCCACAGAAAUAAUUAAAUUUUCUUGUCAAUUAUAUCUUUAACCAUGGCUGUCCUAAGACUUCUGUCUUCCAAAUUAUUGUUUUACUCUGAUUCCUCUUAAAAAGCAGUUUAUAAUCAGCUGAAGUCCAAAACUUGCUUCUUUAGGGGAGUUCAUAAAAAUGACUCUUGAAUGCAGGUUUCUGACAACUUCUGAAGAUUGCGCCAUUGGACUAGAGAGAAAACUUCCAGGACUCUCAUUGAAGAGGCACCCGUUUCCUACAGAUGUGUCCCUCCACUCUUUGAAGCCGAGGGCAAAAUCAUGCUGAAGACCUAGAAAUCCCACCAGUCUGAAGACCAGCUGCAACCACAAUGGGUUAGCCCUUUUCAGGUGCUGCUGACCAUUCAUACUAAUCUGUCAAGUUAGCUGGUGUUAAGCCAUGGAUUCUUCAUACUUAGAGAAAACCAGUCCCUUUGGGAUCCCUCCAAGGAAAACAGUGAUUUUCUUGUGAACCCUCGGACCGGCUUAAGUUAACAUUCAAAGUCCAGUCAAGGCCCUAGAUAAGACUUCAGAAAGGGAACAUGCACUUUUCAGGUUAUUCUUCUCUCCCAAACCCUGGUUCUUUGCAUGCAAGAUAUAAUGAAUUAGGAAGACUUUUUCAUAGGCUUAGGAUUGUUCUCUUGGAUUCCCCAGGAGAUCUGUUCCAUAUUCUUUGGUAUUUUAAAAUUUGGUCUAUCUAUCUUAUUAAUCAUCCAAUCUCAAUGUGGCUUAAAAUGUUCUUCUGAAACCAAAUAAAGGUACAAAGACCAUGGUGCUCCAACAAGCUGGAUGGCAGCCAGGUACUCAUGAGUACUGACAAUUAUAGGUGUGAAAUUUUCAUUUCUCAUCAUUAUUCCAGGAUGCCUCCUCUUCAGCAUAAAGCAGCCAGAAAGAUUGAUGACCAGCUUCCCCAGGAUUGAGGAACUGAUAAGUGGAAAGAGGGGACUGAAACCACCCCAAUUGUCCCGUAGAAUUGAUGUUUAUGAUCUUUUGGAAUAAACAUAGAUAUUGACCCUCAUGGUCUUAAAGAUUGAAAUGUACAUUGCCUGAGUUCCUUCCUCAGAAAACAAAAACUCAGGGCUCUGAGUAUCAAGGAACUGAAACUCACCAGGUCACCACAUCCAGACAAUGAGACAACAGACCCCUUAUUCAUCAUGAUUACUUCCUUCCCCCUCCGUUAUUCCCGUUUUCCCACAUGUAGCUCCAUUCCUUCCCUUUUAUAUAAACUCCCAAUUUUAAUUGAUUGGAGAGGACUUGAGACUUAUCUCUCAUCUCCUCAGCUGAUAUCACCUGAUUAAAGCCUUUCUUUCAUGGCAAUACUCAUUGUCUCAGUGACUGGCUUUCUGUACAGCAAGGAACAGGAUCUAGACCAAACCCCCUGGCAUUUUGGUAACAAGGGGAAUAAGAAACCUAGCCUUACUGACAGUUUAUUUCUUAAGUUGACUUUAUUAAAAGGUCAAGGAAAGAAAACUAGCCCAAAGAAUAAAUGAACAUACCCACUUUAUCACUUUGACAGGUUUAACAAAUUCCUAAUGAAGAAUAAUUUAUGUGUUUGCUCAGGCAUGGUGGCUUAUGUCUGUAAUCCCAGCAUUUUGGGGGGCUGAAGCAGGAGGAUUACCUGAGGCCAGAAGUUUGAGAGCAGUCUGAGCAACACAGUGAGACCACAUCUCUACAAAAAAUAAAAAAGUUAAUUAGGCAUGGUGGCAUGCGCCUGUGGUCCCAGCUACUCUGGAGGCCGAGGUAGGAGGAUCACCUGAGCCUGGGAGGUCAAGGCUGCAGUGAGCUGUGUUUGCACCACCAUACUCCAGCUUGGGUAAUAAAGCAAGACCCUGUCAACAAAAAAAAGUUAGAUUUUUUGUUUGUUUGUUUGAAAAGUGUUAACCUAGGCACAAUCUACAAACUGGCCAAUUUUUGACUUUUGUAACUGUUGUAUAUACAUCUAUAAAUAUAUUCUAAGUAGUUUUCUUAUACAGAACAGCAUAGAAAAAACACAUUAAAAGUCCUCAGAAUUAUGAGUAAUUUGUAUAAAAAUUUGUAAUGACAUUUCAAGGUAAUUGUUUCUAUUGGAAUUGUAAUAACAUCUGAUUGCAGCUUCCUUGAAGAUUACUAAAUAUAUGCAGUGCUAUGAUCCUUUGCUGGGUAAGCAUUGCAGUUUCGUUGCUGCUUAGCUAGUAUGAAAUGUUGGAUUGUAAAAUGUCAAUCGUGUAAUAUAUUUGCUUAUAAAUAGUUACACUCUCAAAUGUUGCAGUUUGUUUAGUCCACUAAAGACAGACUAUAUGCCAUUAUUGAAAGAAAUCUUAGGAAACCUGGCUCCAGAAGAUAUUCAAACAUACACAUGCAUUAUUAUCUGCCAAAUACUACUAGAUCUUGUGGAAAUCUUGGUGUGUUAAAUUUUGUUACAAAAGAUAUACAAGGACAUAAAAGGCUAAAGUUACAGAACUGAAAGAUUGGAUCAGUGUCUUAGAAGCAGGGUUAUUGUAACUUUUGUUUUUUGAAGGAUAACUUGCAGACCAUGCUAAGUGAAGUACUUAAGAAACUUUAAUGAAGUGGAAACUGAAAGAAAAUGACAUAAAAACAUAGGCACCAUUUAAAGUCCUUAAAAAAAACUCAAUAGGCCGGGCGCAGUGGCUCACACCUGUAGUCCCAGCACUUUGGGAGGCCGAGGCGGGCGGAUCACGAGGUCAGGAGAUCGAGACCAUCCUGGCUAACACGGUGAAACCCCGUCUCUACUAAAAAUACAAAAAAAUUAGCCAGGCGUAGUGGCGGACGCCUGUAGUCCCAGCUACUCGGGAGGCUGAGGCAGGAGAAUGGCGUGAACCCGGGAGGCGGAGCUUGCAGUGAGCCGAGAUAGCGCCACUGCAGUCCGGCCUGGGCGACAGAGCGAGACUCCGUCUCAAAAAAAAAAAAAAAAAAAACUCAGUAGAAAUUUUGCAAAAAUACAACCACAGCAACCCAAUGAAUAAAUAUGUAUUUAAUGAUUGCCAACCUAUGAAAAUAUUUUAUAGACUCUAUCUCCAAGCAAGAGCCACACAGAACAGAAUUAAAGUUUCUGCAUCUGAAAGGCUGAUAAAAAGUUAAAAACACUACAUUUGUCUUCAAAAGUAAAUUUGAAUAGUGGUGGUAUUUAGGAGAACAGCCAUUAAAAUCAUACCAUAAAAUGUUAAAUGAUAUUGAAAAUUCAUUUUAAUGCAUAGUUGUAAAAUAACUUCCAAGUAUAUGCUUCCAUAAUAUGCACUUUCAACCAAGGCUGUAAAGUAAUCUGAAGGUUACAAAUGUAUUUGGUGCACCAAGAUUCAAUUUAUAUUAGUCCAUUCUUGCACUGCUGUAAAGAAAUACUGUCAUAUUUUACCAAAAUAUUCAGGUAAUCUUGAAUGUAUUGCCAGCAUACCAUUUUAUAUUUUGAAGAUGAUUGGUAAAAUCUGAGUAUCUUAUAGAUUUUAAUAUGUCAACAAGACUAUUUAAUGGGAAAAAUAAAAGCCUUCAAUGAUUUACAA